GUGCCAGACAAGAGGUUAGGUGAGGAGGUUUGCGCGUGGAUAAGGUUAGUUAUUCGGUUAGUUAGAAUAUUUUGAAUCACUAUAGAUAUAUUUUAUUGAUAUACUGUAGCUCUAUAUUUUCCAUCAAAAUUUGCGAAGAAAAAGCCAUGGGUAAGAGCCAUGGUCAUCGUUUCUUUCGCCCGAAUCCAUAACGGCCAGAGUUAGUGUUAGUAAUAAUUACGAACAGGAGUCAAAGGUGAGUAUAUUCGCCUUAUUUUAAUGAAGGAAGGAAAACUAGAUCAUCGUUAUAUUUUCGACAUGAAUUUAAUCUGGUGUUGUUGUAUUGUAUGCAGAUUAAUGAAGGGUGAGACCGCUACAACAGAUGAAAUAAAGGAAUUUUGCAAAGGAAAGGUAGAGCAUGUUUCUUAUUUGAAAUUGUUAACACUAAUAAAUGUACAAAUAAUAUAAGAUUUUUGGCAAGACAAGAGCGUAUAGGAGAGAGCCUGGGAACGAGGUUGCUCAAACGUACUGCUAUACAGCAGUUAUACAGUCCUUUGGUCUAUGCUUUUCCUCUCGGCACGAUGGAUGUACAUAGUGUACAAAAAAGUGCACAGUGAGACCAAAAAAGACGGCUGUUUCUAUAGGUUUAAAACUGCAAUACAACAUCUAUUAUACGUCAGUAUUUGUGUUUGGCCUUGCAUACUGUAUAGCACUACAGCUUCAUUCUCCUAUUCCAUAAAUAGUGAAGGAAAAUGCAACAAACGAUAUGCUAACUGAAGUUAUGGUUACAGAGAAAUGACAUGCUGUUGGAACCGUUCGUUGUUUUACUUCAGCUUCUCGCAUAAAUGACUCCUCUUCCUGCACAGGCACCAUUCUUUGGACGAUUAAUCGCCUUCGGUAAUUAAAAGUCAACAACGAAAACCAAACAUUUAAUCUAUUAUAAACUUAUAGCCGAAAUGUUUUGAAAACGUAUCUACUUGGAUUUUAAGACUAAUCUGAAGCAUCAUAGUUAUAGACACAGUUACUAUAUGCAUGAAAUUUUUGCUUUUUGAUAGAUUGCCCAUUUUAAAAUUCCACGUUAUAUCAAGUUUGUUGAUGAUAUGCCAAUGACAGUCACAGGAAAGGUA